UUUCUCUAAACCCUUCGUCUUUCUGUUUGAUUUACAGAUUUACUACAGCUUCCUUCCAUAAGUUGAACUUUAUUCAAAACCGGUUCAACGAUCGGUUUCAUGACUUUUCUAUUACUCCCUUGGAGCAGUUUCCUAGUCUCCUCCAUAUGCUCAACUAGAAUUGCUUGCAUUAUUUCAUGCACUCCUGCCAUUGUGAUAGGUUUGGGUGCAGAUUUGAUGACCAGUGCACAACCAAUCACAUGCUCAGGCUAUCCAUUUAUGUUAUCAUUUCCUCUCCUACUACAAGUUCUCACCAUGACGUUUUGUACACCAAAGCAGGCACUUAGUGUAUCGAGAGGCGAGUAUAUUAUGAUUGUAACGUCCCAAAAAUUACAAGGAGAUUUUUCAAUUUUAAAAAUACGAUAACCAAUUAAAACUUUUGUAUCAAGAACCUUUAAGUAACACUUUUUAAUUAAAAUAAUACAAUAUUAGAGUUAAGUUUACAAAACUGCAGAAAUGGACAUCUUCAAUGCGUGUGUACAGUCUCGUCGAGGUCUUCUCACGAAUGACCUGUAAAAUAUUUAAUCCAC
rnacentral:lncRNA from 1 species